rnacentral:rRNA from 1 species
GGCCCAAACUCCUACGGGAGGCAGCAGUAGGGAAUCUUCCACAAUGGACGAAAGUCUGAUGGAGCAACGCCGCGUGAGUGAAGAAGGGUUUCGGCUCGUAAAGCUCUGUUGGUAGUGAAGAAAGAUAGAGGUAGUAACUGGCCUUUAUUUGACGGUAAUUACUUAGAAAGUCACGGCUAACUACGUGCCAGCAGCCGCGGUAAUACGUAGGUGGCAAGCGUUGUCCGGAUUUAUUGGGCGUAAAGCGAGUGCAGGCGGUUCAAUAAGUCUGAUGUGAAAGCCUUCGGCUCAACCGGAGAAUUGCAUCAGAAACUGUUGAACUUGAGUGCAGAAGAGGAGAGUGGAACUCCAUGUGUAGCGGUGGAAUGCGUAGAUAUAUGGAAGAACACCAGUGGCGAAGGCGGCUCUCUGGUCUGCAACUGACGCUGAGGCUCGAAAGCAUGGGUAGCGAACAGGAUUAGAUACCCUGGUAGUCCAUGCCGUAAACGAUGAGUGCUAAGUGUUGGGAGGUUUCCGCCUCUCAGUGCU